rnacentral:rRNA from 1 species
UACGUAGGGGGCAAGCGUUGUCCGGAAUCAUUGGGCGUAAAGAGCGCGUAGGCGGUCCGGUAAGUCAGCUGUGAAAGUCAAGGGCUCAACCCUUGAAAGCCGGUUGAUACUGUCGGGCUAGAGUCCGGAAGAGGCGAGUGGAAUUCCCGGUGUAGCGGUGGAAAUGCGUAGAUAUCAGGAGGAAUACCGGUGGCGAAAGCGACUCUCUGGACGGCAACGUGACGCUGAGCACGAAAGCGUGGGGAGCAAACAGG